rnacentral:rRNA from 1 species
UAUUGGGAUUCGAUUUAGCCAUGCUAGUCGAGCGAGUUCAGACUCGCGGCGAAUAGCUCAGUAACACGUGGCCAAGCUCCCCUUCAGUCAGCGAUACCCUCGGGAAACUGAGGUUAACAGCUGGUACAAAACGCCUGCUGGAAUGCAGCGUUUCAGAAAGACAUCGCUGAAGGAUGCGGCUGCGGCCGAUUAGGUAGACGGUGGGGUAACGGCCCACCGUGCCAGUAAUCGGUACGGGUGAUGAGAGUCAGAGCCCGGAGACGGAAUCUGAGACAAGAUUCCGGGCCCUACGGGGCGCAGCAGGCGCGAAACCUUUACACUGUACGGAAGUGCGAUAGGGGAAUCCCAAGUGCGAGGGCAUAUUAGCCCUCGCUUUUCUCGACUGUAAGGUGGUCGACGAAUAAGAGCUGGGCAAGACCGGUGCCAGCCGCCGCGGUAAUACCGGCAGCUCAAGUGAUGUCCCAUAUUAUUGGGCCUAAAGCGUCCGUAGCUGGCCGACCAAGUCUACCGGGAAAUCCACCCGCCCAACGGGUGGGCGUCCGGUAGAAACUGGCCGGCUUGGAACCGGAAGGCUCAGAGAGUACGUCCGGGGUAGGAGUGAAAUCCCGUAAUCCCGGACGGACUACCGACGGCGAAAGCACUCUGAGAAGACGGCUUCGACAGUGAGGGACGAAAGCUCGGGUCUCAAACCGGAUUAGAUACCCCGGUAGUC